GAUGAACGCUGGCGGCGUGCCUAAUACAUGCAAGUCGAGCGAACAGACGAGGAGCUUGCUCCUCUGAUGUUAGCGGCGGACGGGUGAGUAACACGUGGAUAACCUACCUAUAAGACUGGGAUAACUUCGGGAAACCGGAGCUAAUACCGGAUAACAUGUUGAACCGCAUGGUUCAACAGUGAAAGACGGUCUUGCUGUCACUUAUAGAUGGAUCCGCGCCGCAUUAGCUAGUUGGUAAGGUAACGGCUUACCAAGGCAACGAUGCGUAGCCGACCUGAGAGGGUGAUCCGCCACACUGGAACUGAGACACGGUCCAGACUCCUACGGGAGGCAGCAGUAGGGAAUCUUCCGCAAUGGGCGAAAGCCUGACGGAGCAACGCCGCGUGAGUGAAGAAGGUCUUCGGAUCGUAAAACUCUGUUAUUAGGGAAGAACAAAUGUGUAAGUAACUAUGCACGCCUUGACGGUACCUAAUCAGAAAGCCACGGCUAACUACGUG
rnacentral:rRNA from 1 species